AUACGGCUACUUCGGGUGAGAAUGGUCAGCUCAGGAACCGAGGUGAAAUCCCAGUCAUAUAUCGCAGGACCUCAUGCAAGUACCCUGGGAAGAACAUUGCCUUCCAUGUCAAUGAAGGUUCAACAGAUUACUGGCUAUCCCUUCCAGUGGAAUUUGAAGACGGCGAUGGUGAUGUUGGAUCCAUGCAUAUCAGAGAAGCAGGUGGCACUGAGUGGCUGGAGAUGAAUCACCUGUGGGGUGCAAAUUGGUGUGUUAUUAGGGGACCCUUGAAUGGACCCUUGUCUGUGAAGUUAACAACACUAUCAACAGGAAGAACACUGUCUGCAAGAGAUGUGAUUCCAAGAAAUUGGAUCCCAAAAGCUACUUACACCUCUAGGCUCAAUUUCUUCCAUUAAAAUGCAAAGCUUCAAGCUUUUCUUGGUGUGAAUUCACGUGAGAGAAACAAGCCCAUUUUUCUAAAGUUCCUCUUGUUCAGUUGACGCAAAAGUAGCCGUUGACUGGCGUUUUUUUUUUUAGGUUUUUUUUUUUUAGAAGAGUAGCCGUUGGAUUGCACAAUUAAUGGCAUCCACCAGUGCUUAUUCGUUCUUUCUUUUAAGUAUUAUUUGUGUCUUUUAAUAUAUUUUUUCCUACUUUUGUAGUGUGGAAGUGUGAUCACCAAUGUAGCCCUCUCCAAAGGAGAGAGCGUGUAAUAUGUUUGCUAUGCUUUUGUGUAAGUUUUUAUGCCCUUUGGAUUAUUGAUGAAUUUGUACUAGAAAUACUAAGGCUGUUA